GGUUUGGUGGUCUAGUGGUAUGAUUCUCGCUUAGGGACAACCCUUAGUUAAGAUGCGAGAGGUCCCGGGUUCAAUCCCCGGCCAAACCC
rnacentral:tRNA from 1 species